rnacentral:rRNA from 1 species
UACGUAGGGGGCAAGCGUUGUCCGGAUUUAUUGGGCGUAAAGAGCGUGUAGGCGGCCAUGUAGGUCCGUUGUGAAAACUCGAGGCUCAACCUCGAGACGCCGAUGGAAACCAUGUGGCUAGAGUCCGGAAGAGGGUCGUGGAAUUCCCAGUGUAGAGGUGAAAUUCGUAGAUAUUGGGAAGAACACCGGUGGCGAAGGCGGCGACCUGGUCCGUGACUGACGCUGAGGCGCGAAAGCGUGGGGAGCAAACAGG